rnacentral:rRNA from 1 species
AUUGAACGCUGGCGGCAUGCUUUACACAUGCAAGUCGAACGGUAACAGGCCGCAAGGUGCUGACGAGUGGCGAACGGGUGAGUAAUGCACCGGAACGUGCCCAGUCGUGGGGGAUAACUACUCGAAAGAGUAGCUAAUACCGCAUACGAUCUAUGGAUGAAAGCGGGGGACCGUAAGGCCUCGCGCGAUUGGAGCGGCCGAUGUCAGAUUAGGUAGUUGGUGGGGUAAAGGCUCACCAAGCCAACGAUCUGUAGCUGGUCUGAGAGGACGACCAGCCACACUGGGACUGAGACACGGCCCAGACUCCUACGGGAGGCAGCAGUGGGGAAUUUUGGACAAUGGGCGCAAGCCUGAUCCAGCAAUGCCGCGUGCAGGAAGAAGGCCUUCGGGUUGUAAACUGCUUUUGUACGGAACGAAACGGCUCUGGUUAAUACCCGGGGCUAAUGACGGUACCGUAAGAAUAAGCACCGGCUAACUACGUG